GGUCCAGACUCCUACGGGAGGCAGCAGUGGGGGAUAUUGCACAAUGGGGGGAACCCUGAUGCAGCGACGCCGCGUGGGUGAAGGAGCGUUUCGGCGCGUAAAGCCCUAUCGGCAGGGAAGAAGGAGGACGGUACCUGACUAAGAAGCCCCGGCUAACUACGUGCCAGCAGCCGCGGUAAUACGUAGGGGGCAAGCGUUAUCCGGAUUUACUGGGUGUAAAGGGGGCGCAGACGGCAGCGCAAGCCAGGGGUGAAAGGCCGGGGCCCAACCCCGGGACUGCUCUUGGAACUGCGCGGCUGGAGUGCAGGAGGGGCAGGCGGAAUUCCUGGUGUAGCGGUGAAAUGCGUAGAUAUCAGGAGGAACACCGGUGGCGAAGGCGGCCUGCUGGACUGCGACUGACGUUGAGGCCCGAAAGCGUGGGGAGCAAACAGGAUUAGAUACCCUUGUAUCA
rnacentral:rRNA from 1 species